rnacentral:miRNA from 4 species
AGCGAGGUUGCCCUUUGUAUAUU